GUCCACGCUGUAAACGAUGGAUACUCGCUGUAGCUGGUAAUCAAUCCGGCUGUGGCUUAGCUAACGCAUUAAGUAUCCCGCCUGGGAAGUACGGUCGCAAGAUUAAAACUCAAAAGGAAUUGACGGGGACCCGCACAAGCGGUGGAUUAUGUGGUUUAAUUCGAAGCAACGCGCAAAACCUUACCUAGCCUUGACUUGCCAGUGACCGGUGCAGAAAUGUACCUUCCUUCGGGACACUGGACACAGGUGCUGCAUGGCUGUCGU
rnacentral:rRNA from 1 species